rnacentral:lncRNA from 1 species
AUGAGAAGUCUUAAAAACAUGAAUUAUGAGGCGUGUUAGAAGUUAUAAUUCAAUGUUUUGUAUGAAAGUAUGUAUUCGACAUGGGUAUGUUCAACCUUGUCGAAGUAGUAAAAGUAAGAUGUAUUCGACAUAGUCGAAUAUAGCAUAUAGUUGUUGUGUUGAAGUCAAUGUAUAUUGUGUAUGUUUUGGUCUUGGGCUUUGGUUUCCUAUAAAUAGGCAUAAUGUUUUAAUGCAAAAUAUGUUGAGCAACUCAACUCAAUAAUACUCAAUAUUUUC